CGCGUAUUUCGCCCAGGCGGAACUCGACCGACCGGUCAGGACAUGAUCGCAUUCAUUGAGGAAUGCCGGGACGAGUUCAGCGUCGGGUCGAUCUGCAGCGUGCUGCCGAUCGCGCCA
rfam:Ponticoccus sp. TMTAT08 contig000055, whole genome shotgun sequence.